rnacentral:misc_RNA from 1 species
GAAAUGCGAUAAGUAAUGUGAAUUGCAGAAUUCAGUGAAUCAUCGAAUCUUUGAACGCACCUUGCGCUCCUUGGUAUUCCUUGGAGCAUGCCUGUUUGAGUAUCAUGAAAUCCUCAAAGUAAAUCUUUUGUUAACUCAAUUGGUUUCUACUUUGGUAUUGGAGGUCUUUGCAGCUUCACACCUGCUCCUCUUUGUUCAUUAGCUGGAUCUCAGUGUUAUGCUUGGUUCCACUCGGCGUGAUAAGUUAUCUAUCGCUGAGGACACUGUAAAAGGUGGCCAAGGUAAAUGCAGAUGAACCGCUUCUAAUAGUCCAUUGACUUGGACAAUACUUUUAUGAUCUGAUCUCAAAUCAGGUAGGACUACCCGCUGAUCUUAAGC